AAGAACACCUCAAAACUCUUGCUGAAAACCCUAGUUCUAGAGAGAGUAGAGAUAAAGGGAGAGAUAACUCUGCAGAAAAUCAGGGGAAUUCAAAGAAAAUCAAGAGAAAAUACAGGAAAUUCAGAGGGAAACUUAGACUAAGCUGAAGAAGCUGAAAAUCAAGAUAUUCCUCUUAUAAGGAUGAUUGGUUUUACUUGUUAUGGCAAAGCUUGUGUAUAAACAUGUUGAAUUGUUAUUGCGGGAAAUAGAUGGCACCAUGUGUUGUUGUGGCUACGAUAUUGUGUAAUUUGAGCAAGUAGGGAUUUUAUCUCCCUUGGGUGAAAGGCCCUAUACCUCCGGAGGGUAUUUCCGUGUUAAGUGGUGGUUGGCCAAGCGCACUUGUUAGUAUUUCCACGUUAAGCAGUGGUUGGCUAAGCUGGAAUUUGGCACUUGUUAGUAUAUCCAUGUUAAGUGGUGGUUGGUCAAGGUGGAAUUUGGCACUUCUUUGGGAUAAAAUGUGUACUUUGUCGGUACAGCACUGCUAUGUUGGGAAAAAAAAAUGUGUAAAUGCCUGUUAUUUGAAUGUUUUGGAUUGGCUACUUAAUAUGAACAGAUUGCUUUGAAUAAAGAUUGUGUUCAUGCACCUUAUGAUCAUGCAUACAUGUACGAAACCAUGUGUCAUCCUUAUUUUAAUAAGAGGGAGUUAAGAAUGUCUACUGAGCUUUUGGUUGCUCACCCUAUUCCUUAAUGAUUUCAAGUUCAAACUGAAGGAGAACUCCACUUGUUAGGUUCUCCAAGAUACUACUAUUUUGACAUGUAUUACAGAUUGGCAAGAAGGCAAUAAGGAUACCAGGCGUGUGUUCAGUUUUGGGCUAUUAUGUAUAUAGACUAGGGAGUGAGAAAAUUGUUGUAUGAAAAGUACAGCCCAAUGUAAAGAGCUUGUUAUUAAAUGAAAAACGUUUUUAGUUGCU